AUUGAACGCUGGCGGCAGGCCUAACACAUGCAAGUCGAACGGUAGCACAGAGAGCUUGCUCUCGGGUGACGAGUGGCGGACGGGUGAGUAAUGUCUGGGAAACUGCCCGAUGGAGGGGGAUAACUACUGGAAACGGUAGCUAAUACCGCAUAAUGUCGCAAGACCAAAGAGGGGGACCUUCGGGCCUCUUGCCAUCGGAUGUGCCCAGAUGGGAUUAGCUUGUAGGUGAGGUAACGGCUCACCUAGGCGACGAUCCCUAGCUGGUCUGAGAGGAUGACCAGCCACACUGGAACUGAGACACGGUCCAGACUCCUACGGGAGGCAGCAGUGGGGAAUAUUGCACAAUGGGCGCAAGCCUGAUGCAGCCAUGCCGCGUGUAUGAAGAAGGCCUUCGGGUUGUAAAGUACUUUCAGCGGGGAGGAAGGGAGUGAGGUUAAUAACCUUAUUCAUUGACGUUACCCGCAGAAGAAGCACCGGCUAACUCCGUGCCAGCAGCCGCGGUAGUACGGAGGGUGCAAGCGUUAAUCGGAAUUACUGGGCGUAAAGCGCACGCAGGCGGUCUGUCAAGUCGGAUGUGAAAUCCCCGGGCUCAACCUGGGAACUGCAUUCGAAACUGGCAGGCUGGAGUCUUGUAGAGGGGGGUAGAAUUCCAGGUGUAGCGGUGAAAUGCGUAGAGAUCUGGAGGAAUACCGGUGGCGAAGGCGGCCCCCUGGACAAAGACUGACGCUCAGGUGCGAAAGCGUGGGGAGCAAACAGGAUUAGAUACCCUGGUAGUCCACGCUGUAAACGAUGUCGACUUGGAGGUUGUUCCCUUGAGGAGUGGCUUCCGGAGCUAACGCGUUAAGUCGACCGCCUGGGGAGUACGGCCGCAAGGUUAAAACUCAAAUGAAUUGACGGGGGCCCGCACAAGCGGUGGAGCAUGUGGUUUAAUUCGAUGCAACGCGAAGAACCUUACCUACUCUUGACAUCCAGAGAACUUAGCAGAGAUGCUUUGGUGCCUUCGGGAACUCUGAGACAGGUGCUGCAUGGCUGUCGUCAGCUCGUGUUGUGAAAUGUUGGGUUAAGUCCCGCAACGAGCGCAACCCUUAUCCUUUGUUGCCAGCGGUCCGGCCGGGAACUCAAAGGAGACUGCCAGUGAUAAACUGGAGGAAGGUGGGGAUGACGUCAAGUCAUCAUGGCCCUUACGAGUAGGGCUACACACGUGCUACAAUGGCAUAUACAAAGAGAAGCGACCUCGCGAGAGCAAGCGGACCUCAUAAAGUAUGUCGUAGUCCGGAUUGGAGUCUGCAACUCGACUCCAUGAAGUCGGAAUCGCUAGUAAUCGUGGAUCAGAAUGCCACGGUGAAUACGUUCCCGGGCCU
rnacentral:rRNA from 1 species